rnacentral:rRNA from 1 species
UAAGGGAUAUUGGGCAAUGGGCGAAAGCCUGACCCAGCAACGCCGCGUGGAGGAUGACGGCCUUCGGGUUGUAAACUCCUUUUGUCGGGGACGAGACAAGGACGGUACCCGGCGAAGAAGUCACGGCUAACUACGUGCCAGCAGCCGCGGUAAAACGUAGGUGGCGAGCGUUAUCCGGAUUUACUGGGCGUAAAGCGUGUGCAGGCGGACGGGCAAGUGGUGUAUGAAAGCUCCAGGCUUAACCUGGAGAGGUUAUGCCAGACUGCACGUCUUGAGGCAGAGAGAGGGACAUGGAAUUCCGGGUGUAGUGGUGAAAUGCGUAGAGAUCCGGAGGAACUCCAGAGGCGAAGGCGGUGUCCUGACUCUGACCUGACGCUCAGACACGAAAGCAGUGGGGAGCGAACGGGAUUACGAAACCCCGGUAGUCCAUGCCGUAAACGAUGCAGACUAGGCGUCGGCGAUCUCAACCCGUCGGUCGCCGAAGCUAACGCGAUAAGUCUGCCG